CACGUAGGGCGCAAGCGUUGUCCGGAAUUAUUGGGCGUAAAGGGCUCGUAGGCGGUUUGUCGCGUCGGGAGUGAAAACCCAGGGCUUAACUCUGGGCUUGCUUUCGAUACGGGCAGACUAGAGGUAUGCAGGGGAGAACGGAAUUCCUGGUGUAGCGGUGAAAUGCGCAGAUAUCAGGAGGAACACCGGUGGCGAAGGCGGUUCUCUGGGCAUUACCUGACGCUGAGGAGCGAAAGUGUGGGGAGCGAACAGG
rnacentral:rRNA from 1 species